rfam:Zunongwangia atlantica 22II14-10F7 contig11, whole genome shotgun sequence.
UUAGGGGAAGACCGAAAACCUAAAAUAGAGUAGGUC